CCUACGGGAGGCAGCAGUGAGGAAUAUUGGACAAUGGGCGCAAGCCUGAUCCAGCCAUGCCGCGUGCAGGAUGACGGUCCUAUGGAUUGUAAACUGCUUUUGUACAGGAAGAAACACUGGUUCGUGAACCAGCUUGACGGUACUGUAAGAAUAAGGAUCGGCUAACUCCGUGCCAGCAGCCGCGGUAAUACGGAGGAUCCAAGCGUUAUCCGGAAUCAUUGGGUUUAAAGGGUCCGUAGGCGGUUUGGUAAGUCAGUGGUGAAAGCCCAUCGCUCAACGGUGGAACGGCCAUUGAUACUGCCAGACUUGAAUUAUUAGGAAGUAACUAGAAUAUGUAGUGUAGCGGUGAAAUGCUUAGAGAUUACAUGGAAUACCAAUUGCGAAGGCAGGUUACUACUAAUUGAUUGACGCUGAUGGACGAAAGCGUGGGUAGCGAACAGGAUUAGAUACCCUGGUAGUCCACGCCGUAAACGAUGGAUACUAGCUGUUGGAAGCAAUUUCAGUGGCUAAGCGAAAGUGAUAAGUAUCCCACCUGGGGAGUACGUUCGCAAGAAUGAAACUCAAAUGAAUUGACGG
rnacentral:rRNA from 1 species